AACGAACGCUGGCGGCAUGCCUAACACAUGCAAGUCGAACGAAGGCUUCGGCCUUAGUGGCGCACGGGUGCGUAACGCGUGGGAAUCUGCCCUUGGCUUCGGAAUAACAGUUAGAAAUGACUGCUAAUACCGGAUGAUGUCGCAAGACCAAAGAUUUAUCGGCCAGGGACGAGCCCGCGUAGGAUUAGGUAGUUGGUGGGGUAAAGGCCUACCAAGCCGAUGAUCCUUAGCUGGUCUGAGAGGAUGAUCAGCCACACUGGGACUGAGACACGGCCCAGACUCCUACGGGGGGCAGCAGUGGGGAAUAUUGGACAAUGGGGGCAACCCUGAUCCAGCAAUGCCGCGUGAGUGAUGAAGGCCUUAGGGUUGUAAAGCUCUUUUACCCGGGAUGAUAAUGACAGUACCGGGAGAAUAAGCUCCGGCUAACUCCGUGCCAGCAGCCGCCGUAA
rnacentral:rRNA from 1 species